rnacentral:rRNA from 1 species
UACGGGGGGGGCAAGCGUUGUUCGGAAUUACUGGGCGUAAAGGGCUCGUAGGUGGCCAACUAAGUCAGACGUGAAAUCCCUCGGCUUAACCGGGGAACUGCGUCUGAUACUGGAUGGCUUGAGUUUGGGAGAGGGACGCGGAAUUCCAGGUGUAGCGGUGAAAUGCGUAGAUAUCUGGAGGAACACCGGUGGUGAAGGCGGCGUCCUGGACCAACACUGACACUGAGGAGCGAAAGCCAGGGGAGCAAACGGG